rnacentral:misc_RNA from 1 species
GAUGAAGAACGCAGCGAAAUGCGAUACUUGGUGUGAAUUGCAGAAUCCCGUGAACCAUCGAGUCUUUGAACGCAAGUUGCGCCCGAAGCCACUAGGCCGAGGGCACGCCUGCCUGGGCGUCACACGCCGUUGCCCCCCCAUCUACUCCUUCGGGAUUGCGGGGGGGCGGAUGAUGGCCUCCCGUGCGCCUAGCCGCGCGGUUGGCAUAAAUACCAAGUCCUCGGCGACGCACGCCACGACAAUCGGUGGCUGCGAAACCUCGGUUGCCCGUCGUGUGCGUUCGUCGCGCAUCGAGGGCUCGAAAAAAUGCUCGGCUCCGGCUGGGCUUUCAACGCGACCCCAGGUCAGGCGGGGUUACCCGCUGAAUUUAAGCAUAUCAAUAAGCGGAGGA